rnacentral:rRNA from 1 species
AUUGAACGCUGGCGGCAUGCCUUACACAUGCAAGUCGAACGGUAACAGGUUAAGCUGCCGAGUGGCGAACGGGUGAGUAAUGUAUCGGAACGUGCCCAGUCGUGGGGGAUAACUGCUCGAAAGAGCAGCUAAUACCGCAUACGACCUGGGGGUGAAAGCGGGGGAUCGCAAGACCUCGCGCGAUUGGAGCGGCCGAUAUCAGAUUAGGUAGUUGGUGAGGUAAAGGCUCACCAAGCCGACGAUCUGUAGCUGGUCUGAGAGGACGACCAGCCACACUGGGACUGAGACACGGCCCAGACUCCUACGGGAGGCAGCAGUGGGGAAUUUUGGACAAUGGGCGCAAGCCUGAUCCAGCCAUGCCGCGUGCGGGAAGAAGGCCUUCGGGUUGUAAACCGCUUUUGUCAGGGAAGAAAAGGUUCUGGCUAAUACCUGGGACUCAUGACGGUACCUGAAGAAUAAGCACCGGCUAACUACGUG